ACAUACGACCACAGGGUGUGGAAAACAGGGCUUCCCGUCCGCUCAGCCGUACUUAAGCCACACGC
rnacentral:rRNA from 1 species